UUGCUAGCUUUGAUAUACGGGCAAUUUCUGAAUGAAGAUAUAUGUGGAGUAGUGCUUAGUGUCGGUGAUGUGCAGGACAAAAUUUCCCUGUGGAUCGAUGCAGAAAAUGAGGAUCCUAAGGUGAGCGUUGGAAAACAGUGGAAGGGCAUUUUGGAUAGCAACGAAACUUUAGGGUUCAUAUUUGAUGAGGAUGCAAAGUUUGAAGAGAAGUGCCAAGAAUAAAUACAGUGUGAUCUGUAUAGUACUCUUUUCCAGUACCCAAUGUUUUCUGAACUCGAGCAUUGUAUGCUUUAGCUGCGAGAGUGACCAAGUUCUUGCUAAUUGUUCCCCUUCCCUCAUAUGGCGUAGUUAGACUUCCCUUUAAAUGAUAUAGCUGCUAGAGUGACCAAGUUCUUGCUAAUUGUUCCCCCUUCCCUCAUAUGGCUUAGUUAGACUUCCUUUUAAAUGAUAUAAAUGGAUGUAGAUGUUGUC